rnacentral:rRNA from 1 species
AGCUACGGCCAUACGCAAUGAAAAGUGCCGCUUCCCGUCCGAUCAGCAGAAGCCCGUACCAGUCCAGUCAGUACUAGCGUGAGAGAUCAACUGGGAAUACUGGGUGCUGUAGUUU